rnacentral:pre_miRNA from 1 species
UUUUGAUUGCUCGUCGAUGUUGUCGAAGACACAAAAAAUUCUAUCGAAUCAUCGAAAACAAUCAAAGA